rnacentral:rRNA from 1 species
AGAGAGAGACAUGCGCGCAUAUCAAUAAGCGGAGGAAAAGAAACUAACUAGGAUUCCCUCAGUAACGGCGAGUGAAGCGGGAAGAGCUCAAAUAUUGAAAUCUUCAAGGUUUUACCUUGACGAAUUGUAGUUUAAAGAAGUGUUUUCUGUUGGAAUUUUGGUAAAAGUUCUUUGGAAAAAGACAUCAAGGAGGGUGAGAAUCCCGUAUUUGACCAUUAUUUCCAGCUUUGUGAUACACUUUCAAAGAGUCGGAUUGUUUGGGAAUGCAGUCCAAAAUGGGUGGUAAAUUUCAUCUAAAGCUAAAUACUGGCGAGAGACCGAUAGCGAACAAGUACCGUGAGGGAAAGAUGAAAAGAACUUUGAAAAGAGAGUUAAACAGUACGUGAAAUUGUCAAAAGGGAAGCGUUUGACACCAGUGUUGUUUUCUCGAAAAUCAAUUAAAAAAGAUCUGGAUUUUGUGUUGUAUUGACUUUAUCAGCUUUCUGCACUCUUUUCUUGUCUUUUUUAAUGCACUUUUCGUUUAACAAGUCAACAUCAAUUUCUUUUGUUGUAAAAGGGUCAUUGGAAGGUGGCUUUCCUUUCGGAGAAAGUGUUUAUAGCCUUUGGCCUUCUGCAAUCGGAGAGAUUGAGGUCUGCAGCGUAGAUCCUUCGGGGUUAGAUACAUUUGUGCUAAGUUAUAGCCUUUCAUAGACAACUUGUUGACUAUGAUCAGUCAUGUAGCUUACUCGCUUAUGCUAUUUUACCUACGCUUAGGAUGUUGACAGCAGUAUAGACUGU